GGUGAGAUGGCUCAGUCGGUAAGAGCACCCGACUGCUCUUCCGAAGAUCCCGAGUUCAAAUCCCAGCAACCA
rnacentral:tRNA from 1 species